rfam:Lactobacillus plantarum bacteriophage phiJL-1, complete genome.
ACUCGUAUAGCUCAGUGGUAGAGCACUCAACUUAUAAUUGAGGGGUCGAUUGUUCAAGCCAAUCUACGAGUA